rnacentral:rRNA from 1 species
CCUACGGGUGGCAGCAGUAGGGAGUAUUGCGCAAUGGGCGAAAGCCUGACGCAGCCACGCCGCGUGGAUGAUGAAGGCCUUCGGGUCGUAAAGUCCUUUUCUGAGGGAAGAAUGGUCUGGUGAGGAAAUGCACUGGGCGUGACGGUACCUCAGGAAUAAGCCACGGCUAACUCUGUGCCAGCAGCCGCGGUAAUACAGAGGUGGCUAGCGUUGUUCGGAAUUACUGGGCGUAAAGGGAGCGCAGGCGGCCAAAUUAGUCUGAAGUGCAAGCCCGGGGCUCAACCCCGGAAUUGCUUUGGAUACUGUUUGGCUUGAGUAUGUCAGAGGUGAGCGGAAUUCCAGGUGUAGCGGUGAAAUGCGUAGAUAUCUGGAGGAACAUCGGUGGCGAAAGCGGCUCACUGGGACAAAACUGACGCUGAGGCUCGAAAGCGUGGGGAGCGAACGGGAUUAGAUACCCCGGUAGUC